UCGCAUCGCCUGUUUCGCAGAUCAACUGCGUACGACCUAGGUGGAAGACCUGAACGGCGACCGAUGUACUCCUGUACUCGGAAAGUCUCCAAGUCACGUGAAUACAAUUCUGCGUUCAUUGUUUGUGCCCUUCGACUAUAUACUGCUAUGGCCUUUCGGACGACCUCUACGUACACGUGCCCGGCCUCGAUCUGCAUAGCUUGUUUCAACCCCAUCUUAGGCAUCAAUGUCGCCAACCUAUAGAAUGUUGCCGAGAAUACAGCAAAAAUCGGGAGAUGGCGUGUGCGCCUUAAUACAGAGUUGCCGCCUCCACGAGGUUAGUCGUCAUCUGCCCAUACCGAAACCCUUCAUCGUAACUUUGAG
rnacentral:lncRNA from 1 species